AAAAUUUUAAGUUAAAUUAAACUAAUAAUUUUCAAAAUUAUAAAUAUUGAUAAAUUAAAUUUUA
rnacentral:tRNA from 1 species